rnacentral:rRNA from 1 species
AUUGAACGCUGGCGGCAGGCCUAACACAUGCAAGUCGAGCGGAUGAAGGGAGCUUGCUCCUGGAUUCGGCGGCGGACGGGUGAGUAAUGCCUAGGAAUCUGCCUGGUAGUGGGGGAUAACGUCCGGAAACGGGCGCUAAUACCGCAUACGUCCUGAGGAAGAAAGUGGGGGAUCUUCGGACCUCACGCUAUCAGAUGAGCCUAGGUCGGAUUAGCUAGUUGGUGGGGUAAAGGCCUACCAAGGCGACGAUCCGUAACUGGUCUGAGAGGAUGAUCAGUCACACUGGAACUGAGACACGGUCCAGACUCCUACGGGAGGCAGCAGUGGGGAAUAUUGGACAAUGGGCGAAAGCCUGAUCCAGCCAUGCCGCGUGUGUGAAGAAGGUCUUCGGAUUGUAAAGCACUUUAAGUUGGGAGGAAGGGCAGUAAGUUAAUACCUUGCUGUUUUGACGUUACCAACAGAAUAAGCACCGGCUAACUUCGUG